rnacentral:rRNA from 1 species
CCUACGGGUGGCAGCAGUGAGGAAUAUUGGUCAAUGGUCGGGAGACUGAACCAGCCAAGCCGCGUGAGGGAGGAAGGUACAGAGUAUCGUAAACCUCUUUUGUCAGGGAACAAAGGCGGGGACGUGUCCCCGGAUGAGUGUACCUGAAGAAAAAGCAUCGGCUAACUCCGGUCCAGCAGCCGCGGUAAUACGGAGGAUGCGAGCGUUAUCGGGAUUUAUUGGGGUUAAGGGGUGGGCAGGGGGUCUGUUAAGUCAGCGGUCAAAGCCCGGGGCUCAACCCCGGCCCGCCGUUGAAACUGGCAGUCUCGAGUUGGAGAGAGGUAUGCGGAAUGCGCGGUGUAGCGGUGAAAUGCAUAGAUAUCGCGAAGAACUCCGAUUGCGAAGGCGGCAUGCCGGCUCCACACUGACGCUGAGGCGCGAAAGCGUGGGUAUCGAACAGGAUUAGAUACCCUAGUAGUC